rnacentral:tRNA from 1 species
CCUGCUGUGGCGCAACUGGUAGACGCGGUGGCCUAUCAAGCUACUAACCCGUGACACGGUUUUUGCGAGUUCGAAUCUCGUCGGCAGGA